GAACUCUUUGGUACACUCGUUUACAGUGGUGCAUGGUUGUCGUCAGCUCGUGUCGUGAGAUGUUCGGUUAAGUCCGGCAACGAGCGCAACCCUCGUCCUAUGUUGCCAGCACGUUAUGGUGGGAACUCAUGGGAUACUGCCGUGGUCAACACGGAGGAAGGUGGGGAUGACGUCAAAUCAUCAUGCCCCUUAUGUCUUGGGCUUCACGCAUGCUACAAUGGCCGGUACAAAGGGCUGCGAUACCGCGAGGUGGAGCGAAUCCCAAAAAGCCGGUCUCAGUUCGGAUUGGGGUCUGCAACUCGACCCCAUGAAGUCGGAGUCGCUAGUAAUCGCAGAUCAGCAACGCUGCGGUGAAUACGUUCCCGGGCCUU
rnacentral:rRNA from 1 species